rnacentral:rRNA from 1 species
ACGCUCGACACCUACGGGAGGCCGCAGUGGGGAAUAUUGCACAAUGGGGGAAACCCUGAUGCAGCAACGCCGCGUGAAGGAAGACGGUUUUCGGAUUGUAAACUUCUGUUCUUAGUGAAGAUAGUGACGGUAGCUAAGGAGCAAGCCACGGCUAACUACGUGCUAGCAGCCGCGGUAAUCUGAGCGGGCUGGCAAGGC